GACGAACGCUGGCGGCGUGCCUAAUACAUGCAAGUCGAGCGAAGUUUUUCUGGUGCUUGCACCGGAAAAACUUAGCGGCGAACGGGUGAGUAACACGUAAAGAACCUGCCUCAUAGACUGGGACAACUAUUGGAAACGAUAGCUAAUACCGGAUAAUAGCAUUAACUGCAUGGUUGAUGUUUAAAAGUUGGUUUUGCUAACACUAUGAGAUGGCUUUGCGGUGCAUUAGCUAGUUGGUGGGGUAAAGGCCUACCAAGGCGACGAUGCAUAGCCGACCUGAGAGGGUGAUCGGCCACACUGGGAGUGAGACACGGCCCAGACUCCUACGGGAGGCAGCAGUAGGGAAUCUUCCGCAAUGGGCGAAAGCCUGACGGAGCAACGCCGCGUGAGUGAAGAAGGAUUUCGGUUCGUAAAGCUCUGUUGUUAGGGAAGAAUAAUUGUGUAGUAACUAUACACAGUAGAGACGGUACCUAACCAGAAAGCCACGGCUAACUACGUG
rnacentral:rRNA from 1 species